CCUACGGGAGGCAGCAGUGAGGAAUAUUGGUCAAUGGGCGCGAGCCUGAACCAGCCAAGUAGCGUGAAGGAUGACUGCCCUACGGGUUGUAAACUUCUUUUAUAAAGGAAUAAAGUGAGGCACGUGUGCCUUUUUGUAUGUACUUUAUGAAUAAGGAUCGGCUAACUCCGUGCCAGCAGCCGCGGUAAUACGGAGGAUCCGAGCGUUAUCCGGAUUUAUUGGGUUUAAAGGGAGCGUAGAGGGGUUGUUAAGUCAGUGGUAAAAUGUCGGGGCUCAACCCGGGCCGGCCGUUGAAACUGGGGGUCUUGAGUGGGAGAGAAGUAUGCGGAAUGCGUGGUGUAGCGGUGAAAUGCAUAGAUAUCGCGCAGAACUCCGAUUGCGAAGGCAGCAUACCGGCGCCAGACUGACGCUGAGGCACGAAAGCGUGGGGAUCGAACAGGAUUAGAUACCCCAGUAGUC
rnacentral:rRNA from 1 species